UUGUAAGCCGUCGGAUCGUGAACGGACGCACCGGAUCAGAGGUGGGUUGGCCCCCCAGCCACUUAACCGUACUUUACAGAACAUCCCCUGCUUCUUUUCACAUUCUGAUCGAAAAUCGUUCGCCUCUUUGUUCCUUAUUCCUGAUCUGUUCGUAUUCUCCAACUCCAAGGGAAACGCCGCCGGCAUCUUGCUCGACGAUGAGGCGGCGGCCAACGAACAGCGGCGCUGCGCCAUGCGGUGGCAACACGGCAGCCAGCCAAUGGCAGCUCCCCCCUCGUGCUACAACUCAAUGUCCGUUCCUACUGCUCCAGCAUGCGGUGUGCUCCUCUGCUCGCUUCCCAACUAGGUCUUUCCCUCGCCCUCCAUUCCAAGCGACAAACAAUAGCUGUCCCUUCAUCAAUUCCCUUGUUCUGUAGAAUUCGCUGCAAACACUGUGUCGAUCUGACGUAACCCGUGUGUGAUUGAGAUUGUGAAAUUAUAUUACUCAGUGUGAAUACUGAAUCACCUUGUUUUGCAUAUUUCAAUUUCACUGAAUGUGGUGGGAAUUUCAGUUUCACUGAAUUGUACAACUUCUGAACUUUACCCUGAGUUCCUCUUGUAAAACAUGACAAGGUUUGUUUGCUCAA